rnacentral:lncRNA from 1 species
GGAAAUUAAAUAAAGCAUUAUCUUUACUUUCAAUUUAUCUUUUAUUACUGCUUCUUUCCUAGGGAUCAGGCACAAAUUCAGGAGGAAUGACCCAGUGAGACUGCAUUUUUCUUACUUCUUCUCAAGAGAGUCAUUAAAAUCAAAGAGCACUUGGAGGAUCAUUCAUUCAUUAUUCAUUCACUCACUGAUAUUUACUGAGAGUUUACCAGCACUCAUCAAAACAAGUGAGUGAGUGAUCCAGCUAAGAAACAAAAGACUUCACGGUCCCUGCUCUCAAGAAGGAGAAAGACAAGAAUCAAUGAGAAAGAAGAAAUACACAGGGUAAAAUUGAAUGCUGCUAAACAAGGUAAAAUUGCAAGGUAGAGGAAGAAAAUCUCAUUGUACUUCAACUUCA